rnacentral:rRNA from 1 species
GUAACAGGGGUAGCUUGCUACCCGCUGACGAGCGGCGGACGGGUGAGUAAUGCAUAGGAAUCUGCCCGGUAGUGGGGGAUAACCUGGGGAAACCCAGGCUAAUACCGCAUACGUCCUACGGGGGAGAAAAGGGGGGCUUCCCGGCUCCCCCGCUUAUUUGGAAUGAGCCCUAAUGUCCGGAUUAAGCUUAGUUGGUGGAGGUAAAAGGCUCCACCCAAGGCAAACGAUCCCGUAAGCUGGUUCUGAGAAGGAUGAUCCAGCCCACAUCGGGGACUGGAGACCACGGCCCCGAACUUCCUUACGGGAAGGCAGCCAGUGGGGGAAUAUUGGAACAAUGGGGGGCAACCCCUGAUCCCAGCCAUGCCGGCGUGUGUGAAGAAGGCCCUCCGGGUUGUAAAGCACUUUCAGCGAGGAAGAACGCCUUAGUGGUUAAUACCCAUUAGGAAAGACAUCACUCGCAGAAGAAGCACCGGCUAACUCCGUGCCAGCAGCCGCGGUAAUACGGAGGGUGCAAGCGUUAAUCGGAAUUACUGGGCGUAAAGCGCGCGUAGGUGGCUUGAUAAGCCGGUUGUGAAAGCCCCGGGCUCAACCUGGGAACGGCAUCCGGAACUGUCAGGCUAGAGUGCAGGAGAGGAAGGUAGAAUUCCCGGUGUAGCGGUGAAAUGCGUAGAGAUCGGGAGGAAUACCAGUGGCGAAGGCGGCCUUCUGGACUGACACUGACACUGAGGUGCGAAAGCGUGGGUAGCAAACAGGAUUAGAUACCCUGGUAGUCCACGCCGUAAACGAUGUCGACCAGCCGUUGGGUGCCUAGAGCACUUUGUGGCGAAGUUAACGCGAUAAGUCGACCGCCUGGGGGAGUACGGCCGCAAGGUUAAAACUCAAAUGAAUUGACGGGGGGCCCGCACAAGCGGUGGAGCAUGUGGUUUAAUUCGAUGCAACGCGAAAAAACCUUACCUACCCCUUGACAUCUACAGAAACCCGGAAGAAGAUUCUGGGUGUGCCUUUCGGGGAACUGUAAAAACAAGGUGCUUGCAUGGGCUGUUCGUCAGCCUCGUGGUUGUGAAAAUGUUGGGGUUUAAGUCCCCGUAACGAAGCGCAACCCCUUGGUCCUUAUUUUGCCAGCCACUUAAUGGGUGGGAAACUCCUAAGGGAAAACUGGCCGGUUGAACAAACCGGGAAGGAAAGGUGGGGGAACGAACGUCCAAGUUCAUUCAUGGGCCCCUUUACGGGGUAGGGCUACACACGUGCUACAAUGGCCGGUACAAAGGGCUGCGAGCUCGCGAGAGUCAGCGAAUCCCUUAAAGCCGGUCUCAGUCCGGAUCGGAGUCUGCAACUCGACUCCGUGAAGUCGGAAUCGCUAGUAAUCGUGAAUCAGAAUGUCACGGUGAAUACGUUCCCGGGCCUUGUACACACCGCCCGUCACACCAUGGGAGUGGACUGCACCAGAAGUGGUUAGCCUAACGC